rnacentral:rRNA from 1 species
GGGUUGUGAGGUUAAGCGACUAAGCGUACACGGUGGAUGCCCUGGCAGUCAGAGGCGAUGAAGGACGUGCUAAUCUGCGAAAAGCGUCGGUAAGGUGAUAUGAACCGUUAUAACCGGCGAUGUCCGAAUGGGGAAACCCAGUGUGAUUCGUCACACUAUCGUUAACUGAAUACAUAGGUUAACGAGGCGAACCGGGGGAACUGAAACAUCUAAGUACCCCGAGGAAAAGAAAUCAACCGAGAUUCCCCCAGUAGCGGCGAGCGAACGGGGAGCAGCCCAGAGUCUGAAUCAGCUUGUGUGUUAGUGGAACGGUCUGGAAAGUCCGACGGUACAGGGUGAUAGUCCCGUACACCAAAAUGCACAGGUUGUGAACUCGAAGAGUAGGGCGGGACACGUGGUAU